rnacentral:rRNA from 1 species
AAGUACCACCAAACUGCCCUGAACAGGACUAUUGCAUCACAUUUUGAAAGCUAAGCAGGAACUGGCCUGGUUGGUUCAUGGAUGGGAGAUCUCCAGAGAAUACAAGUUUCUGCACCGA